GUCUAUAGCCAGACCACCCAGAAGGUGCCUGAUCUCCCCUAUCUCAGAAGCUAAGCAGGACAGUGCCUGGUUAGUACUCGCUGGGAUAAUUGCCUGGUGAACUCCAUAGAUG
rnacentral:rRNA from 1 species